rnacentral:lncRNA from 1 species
GUGAACUCAUCGUCUCUAUGAACAGUUUUUCCAAACGAGAUGUGACAAGGGUGCUAUGACUGUAGCGUGAGGGAGGGGUUGGGAGAAGCAAAUCUUCUGAAGAAGCUUCCUCACCCUCUCUCAGCUCCCUGAUUUGUAGCCAACACUGAAUAAGGAGAAGUGAACUGUCCUGUGGUGGGACUUCUGACAGCCUUUCUCACUUGGUCAGAAAGAGGCAUUGCUAAUAUCUGCAUUAAAAACUCACCCUGCUUCGACUGGAAGCUGACCUAAGGUGGCUGUCCCAUUGGAACAAAUGUAACAAAGAUUCACAUAUAGACAUCAAUAACUGAUAAAGAAUUAGCCAUAAGUAUGCACUCCAAGACAUGGAAAUACGUCUCAAACUACCAUGACCGUCCUGUCACGAAGGCAAGGCUGUCACCACAUUGUUCACAAACGCUUGGCCCAGUGUAAUCUCAAGUGACAAAAGGGAAUAGGCUGUCACCACCCGCAUAGACAACGCUCCGUUGUGAUGGAACGAAUAGACUUUUAGGAGACAUCCUGAUACUCAAUAUAUGGUUUCCUUCCAAUAGCAUUGUCUGUUGCUUGCUCGUUUUAAACACAACUUAAUCGAUGCUGUGAAACUAAAUCCCAUUUUCUAGCUCCUGUAAGAAUUCAGUGCUUCUGAGUUUGAGCUUUGUUUUCGUAGUGACAUCAGUUUGUUUUAACAUUCCCAUUAGGGAUUCUUUUGUGAGGGGAGAUGUAAAUUAGGUUUUACUUUGUUUAUUCUGAGUUUGUCGUGAGCAGAAGUUUGAUGAAAUAAUCUUUGAAAAUCCAGAAGACCCUACACACUAUGGUAGCAUAAUCCAGUUUCCCCCUCACUAUUGCGUCUGACGUCCUUCUGAAAAAAAAAAUGAAUAUUUUAGGCAGGAGACAAACACGAGGGAAAGAAGAGGUUUGGGGGUGAAACUGGGGACAAAUGAGAACUCCAGUGCUUCGGUGAAAUGUAUCUGCUCGCUCAGUGUACCAGUUCUCAAUCUUCCAGCUUCCCCUGCUUUUCCACCCCAUUUGACUCCCCCACCUGCAAG